rnacentral:rRNA from 1 species
UACGUAGGUGGCAAGCGUUGUCCGGAAUUAUUGGGCGUAAAGCGCGCGCAGGCGGUCCUUUAAGUCUGAUGUGAAAUCUUGCGGCUCAACUGCAAGCGGUCAUUGGAAACUGGGGGACUUGAGUGCAGAAGAGGAAAGCGGAAUUCCACGUGUAGCGGUGAAAUGCGUAGAGAUGUGGAGGAACACCAGUGGCGAAGGCGACUCUCUGGUCUGUAACUGACGCUGAGGCGCGAAAGCGUGGGGAGCGAACAGG